rnacentral:rRNA from 1 species
GAUGAACGCUAGCGGGAGGCUUAAUACAUGCAAGUCGAGGGAGAAAUUUGACUUCGGUCAAACGGAAACCGGCGAACGGGUGAGUAACGCGUACACAACCUACCUUUAACUGGGGGAUAGCCUUGGGAAACUGAGAUUAAUACCCCAUAAUAUUGAUCGAUUGCAUAUGAAGUCAAUUAAAGUUCCGGCGGUUAAAGAUGGGUGUGCGUUCCAUUAGCUAGUUGGUGAGGUAACGGCUCACAAAGGCGACGAUGGAUAGGGGGCGUGAGAGCGUGAUCCCCCACACGGGUACUGAGACACGGACCCGACUCCUACGGGAGCAGCAGUAA